rnacentral:rRNA from 1 species
UACGGAGGGUGCAAGCGUUAAUCGGAAUCACUGGGCGUAAAGCGCGCGUAGGCGGCCUUGUAAGUCGGAUGCGAAAUCCCAUGGCUCAACCAUGGAACUGCAUUCGAAACUGCUUGGCUUGAGUACAGGAGAGGGUGGCGGAAUUCCCGGUGUAGGAGUGAAAUCCGUAGAGAUCGGGAGGAACACCAGUGGCGAAGGCGGCCACCUGGACUGUAACUGACGCUGAGGCGCGAAAGCGUGGGGAGCAAACAGG